GGGGACAAGCUUUUGGAUUUCUAGGAUCAGACUCUCCUUCACAAACAAAAGUUCCAUCAGCACUAAAGUAGUUACAUCCCUUUGUGCCUGCGCAACAGUUGGUGCAUAUUUGAUUAUUCUUUUCUUCUGAACGCGGGCAAACUCGGUAGUCAAUUCUUGGAUCACAAUUUCGGGGACAAACUUUUGGAUUUCUAGGAUCAGAUUCUCCUUUACAAACAAAAGUUCCAUCAGCACUAAAGUAGUUACAUCCCUUCGUGCCUGCGCAACAGUUGGUGCAUAUUUGAUUGUCCUUCUUUUCUUUUGAACGCGGGCAAACUCCAUAGGCAAUUCUUGGAUCACAAUUUCUGGGACAAGCUUUUGGAUUUCGAGGAUCAAACUGUCCUUCACAAACAAAAGUUCCAUCAGCACUAAAGUAGUUACAUCCCUUCGUGCCUGCGCAACAGUUGGUGCAUAUUUGAUUGUUCUUCUUUUCUUCUGAACGUGGGCAAACUCCAUAGGCAAUUCUUGGAUCACAGUUAAAGGAACAAGCCUUGGCAUCUGCAUGUUCCACAUUAUUUACAAGUAG
rnacentral:lncRNA from 1 species